GUCCACGCCGUAAACGAUGAAUACUCGGCAUCUGGCGGGCGAUUUUCGUCCGCCGGGUGCCCCAGCUAACGCGGUAAGUAUUCCGCCUGGGAACUACGAGCGCAAGCUUAAAACUCAAAGGAAUUGACGGGGGCCCCGCACAAGCAGCGGAGCGUGUGGUUUAAUUCGACGCAACGCGCAGAACCUUACCCAGGUUUGACAUGGCCCUGCAAGCCGGUGAAAGCCGGUCGCCUGCGAGGGUGGGCCACAGAUGCUGCAUGGCUGUCGU
rnacentral:rRNA from 1 species